ACUUUUAUUUUCUUUUACUUCAUUUAUGUAAAUACAAUAAACCAAAAUAACGAAAAGAGAAAAGAAGUU
rnacentral:ribozyme from 16 species